GAUGAACGCUGGCGGCGUGCUUAACACAUGCAAGUCGAGCGAAGCAUUUUAAAGGAAGUUUUCGGAUGGAAUUUAAGAUGACUUAGCGGCGGACGGGUGAGUAACGCGUGGGUAACCUGCCUCAUACAGGGGGAUAACAGUUAGAAAUGACUGCUAAUACCGCAUAAGCGCACAGUGCUGCAUAGUACAGUGUGAAAAACUCCGGUGGUAUGAGAUGGACCCGCGUCUGAUUAGGUAGUUGGUGAGGUAACGGCCCACCAAGCCGACGAUCAGUAGCCGACCUGAGAGGGUGACCGGCCACAUUGGGACUGAGACACGGCCCAAACUCCUACGGGAGGCAGCAGUGGGGAAUAUUGGACAAUGGGGGAAACCCUGAUCCAGCGACGCCGCGUGAGUGAAGAAGUAUUUCGGUAUGUAAAGCUCUAUCAGCAGGGAAGAAAAUGACGGUACCUGACUAAGGAGCCCCGGCUAACUACGUGCCAGCCGCCGCCGUAA
rnacentral:rRNA from 1 species